GACUCUAUUGAGGCCCCRUAAUCGGAAUGAGUACACUUUAAAUCCUUUAACAAGGAUCCAUUGGAGGGCAAGUCUGGUGCCAGCAGCCGCGGUAAUUCCAGCUCCAAUAGCGUAUAUUAAAGUUGUUGCGUUUAAAAAGCUCGUAGUUGGUUCUGCGUGCCGCGCUGUCGGUUCGCCGCCWGUCGGUGUAACUGGCAUGUCGCGGCAUGUCCUGUCGGUGGUGAACGGGGUCCCCGGUGCUGCUAGCGGCUUAACGRCCAAAGUUAGUACCGUGUGUGUUCCCGUUUACCGAUCUCUCCUACUUCGGUGCUCUUAAACGAGUGUCGAGGUAGGCCGACACGUUCACUUUGAACAAAUUAGAGUGCUUAAAGCAGGCUGAAAUAUCUGCCUGAAUAGUGGUGCAUGGAAUGAUAAAAUAGGACCUCGGUUCUAUUUUGUUGGUUUUAGGAAUAUGAGGUAAUGAUCAAUGUGGACAGGCGGGGGCAUUCGUAUUGCGACGUUAGAGGUGAAAUUCUUGGAUCGUCGCAAGACGCACUAGAGCGAAAGCAUUUGCCAAGUAUGUCUUAAUUGAUCAAGAACGAAAGUUAGAGGUUCGAAGGCGAUCAGAUACCGCCCUAGUUCUAACCAUAAACGAUGCCAGCCAGCGAUCCGCCGAUGUUCCUUUAAUGACUCGGCGGGGAGCUUCCACCCGGGAAACCAAAGCUCUUGGGUUCCGGGGGAAGUAUGGUUGCAAAGCUGAAACUUAAAGGAAUUGACGGAAGGGCACCACCAGGAGUGGAGCCUGCGGCUUAAUUUGACUCAACACGGGAAACCUCWCCAGGCCAGGACAUUGGAAGGAUUGACAGAUUGACAGCUCUUUCUUGAUUCAG
rnacentral:rRNA from 1 species